rnacentral:lncRNA from 1 species
GAAGCAGGAGAUGGCGGAGGCGACGGGCCGAGGCGGCGGCGCUUCGGAUUUCAAGCCCCAAGCCGCCUGGAACCCUAGAUCUACCACGCCUGGAUGUCUGGAACCCUAGAUCUGCAACAUCCACCCAAGGCGGCAACAAUCGCAACAAUCCCUGAGCUCCGUUUCUCUGUGAUUUCUCUGUGGUGGUGGCUCGCUGUGCGGCG